rnacentral:rRNA from 1 species
AGUGAACGCUGGCGGUAAGCCUAACACAUGCAAGUCGAACGGCAGCACAGGAGAGCUUGCUCUCUGGGUGGCGAGUGGCGGACGGGUGAGGAAUACAUCGGAAUCUACUCUGUCGUGGGGGAUAACGUAGGGAAACUUACGCUAAUACCGCAUACGACCUACGGGUGAAAGCAGGGGACCUUCGGGCCUUGCGCGAUUGAAUGAGCCGAUGUCGGAUUAGCUAGUUGGCGGGGUAAAGGCCCACCAAGGCGACGAUCCGUAGCUGGUCUGAGAGGAUGAUCAGCCACACUGGAACUGAGACACGGUCCAGACUCCUACGGGAGGCAGCAGUGGGGAAUAUUGGACAAUGGGCGCAAGCCUGAUCCAGCCAUACCGCGUGGGUGAAGAAGGCCUUCGGGUUGUAAAGCCCUUUUGUUGGGAAAGAAAUCCGGCUGGCUAAUACCCGGUUGGGAUGACGGUACCCAAAGAAUAAGCACCGGCUAACUUCGUGCCAGCCGCCGCAGUAA